GGUACCGCGAAUACACGCUACGCGACACGGACAGUAGAUCCGUUAGAUCGAGUCAUUGAUGAUAAACUCCAUCCAUCUUUACGGUCAUCUUACUGUCCACUAUGUAACUCCUUCUGUCAACUAAUCUGUAAGCCUACAACGGGUAAAUACAGAAGGGUAUAAAACAA